rnacentral:rRNA from 1 species
GCCUAACACAUGCAAGUCGAACGGUAACAGGAAGCAGCUUGCUGCUUCGCUGACGAGUGGCGGACGGGUGAGUAAUGUCUGGGAAACUGCCUGAUGGAGGGGGAUAACUACUGGAAACGGUGGCUAAUACCGCAUAACGUCGCAAGACCAAAGAGGGGGACCUUCGGGCCUCUUGCCAUCAGAUGUGCCCAGAUGGGAUUAGCUUGUUGGUGAGGUAACGGCUCACCAAGGCGACGAUCCCUAGCUGGUCUGAGAGGAUGACCAGCCACACUGGAACUGAGACACGGUCCAGACUCCUACGGGAGGCAGCAGUGGGGAAUAUUGCACAAUGGGCGCAAGCCUGAUGCAGCCAUGCCGCGUGUAUGAAGAAGGCCUUCGGGUUGUAAAGUACUUUCAGCGGGGAGGAAGGUGUUG